UACGUAGGGGGCAAGCGUUGUCCGGAAUCAUUGGGCGUAAAGCGCGUGUAGGCGGCCCGAUAAGUCCGCUGUGAAAGUCCAGGGCUCAACCCUCGAAUGCCGGUGGAUACUGUCGGGCUAGAGUGCGGAAGAGGCGAGUGGAAUUCCAGGUGUAGCGUGAAAUGCGUAGAUAUCUGGAGGAAUACCGGUGGCGAAGGCGGCAUCCUGGACCUUACUGACGCUGAGGCGCGAAAGUA
rnacentral:rRNA from 1 species